UGGACAUAUCAUGUUGAAACACCGAUUCUCGUACAGUCACCAAAGUUAAGCAACAUUGAGCCUGGUCAGUAAUUAGAUGGGUGACCGUUUGGCAAUUCCAGGUGCUGUAAG